CAAGCAUGGAGCCUGAUGCGGGGCUGGAUCCCAGGACCCCGGGAUCAUGACCUGAGACGAAGGCAGACGCUUAACCGACUGAGCCCCCGGGGCACCCCUAAACCUCUGUUUUAAGGUUAAAGUGAGGAAGCUUUUACCUUGGCUCCGUCAUACUCAACGUGCCCAGUUUGAGGCUUUGCCGGUAAAGGCUGUGACAGAAGGAGCAAGGAAGGUGCAGAGCUGCGCCUGAGCCUAAACGUGAGCUGUUCCUAUGCGAGAGCACACCUGGAUGCUGGGAGGCUUCUGCUUCCCACAAAAACUUCUACACAUGCGCACACCCUUUCUCAGAGAAGGAGAACCCAUAGCUCCAUAAAACAAAAUAAGUAAACAGAAACAAAAACAAAGACAAAAACAAAACCCAAGUUGGCUGUUAAUGUGAUCAAUGAAGUUGAAACAUGA